AGUGAACGCUGGCGGCAGGCCUAACACAUGCAAGUCGAGCGGCAGCGGGUCCCCGCGAGGGGGAUGCCGGCGAGCGGCGGACGGGUGAGGAACACAUCGGAAUCUGCCUGGUUGUGGGGGAUAACGUAGGGAAACUUACGCUAAUACCGCAUGAGACCCUGAGUCGACGGACUGGGGGUGAAAGUGAGGGACCUUCGGGCCUCACGCGACCAGAUGAGCCGAUGUCGGAUUAGCUAGUUGGCGGGGUAACGGCCCGCCAAGGCGACGAUCCGUAGCUGGUCUGAGAGGAUGAUCAGCCACACUGGGACUGAGACACGGCCCAGACUCCUACGGGAGGCAGCAGUGGGAAUCUUGGACAAUGGGCGCAAGCCUGAUCCAGCCAUGCCGCGUGGGUGAAGAAGGCCU
rnacentral:rRNA from 1 species